rnacentral:rRNA from 1 species
UACGGGGGGGGGCAAGCGUUGUUCGGAAUUACUGGGCGUAAAGGGCUCGUAGGCGGCCAACUAAGUCAGACGUGAAAUCCCGUCGGCUCAACCGGGGAACUGCGUCUGAUACUGGGUGGCUUGAAUUCGGGAGAGGGAUGCGGAAUUCCAGGUGUAGCGGUGAAAUGCGUAGAUAUCUGGAGGAACACCGGUGGCGAAGGCGGCCCCUGGCCGCUCCUGA